AUUGAACGCUAGCGGGAUGCCUUACACAUGCAAGUCGAACGGAGUGGCGAACGGGUGAGUAAUGUAUCGGAACGUGCCCAGUAGCGGGGGAUAAGUACGCGAAAGCGUAGCUAAUACCGCAUACUAUUGGAGCGGCCGAUAACGGAUUAGCUAGGUGGUGGGGUAACGGCAACCCAAGGCGACGAACCGUAGCUGGUUUGGGAGGAAGACCAGCCACACUGGGACUGAGGCACGGCCCAAGCUCCUACGGGAGGCAGCAGUGGGGAAUUUUGGACAAUGGGGCAAACCCUGACCCAGCCAUCCCGCGUGUGCGAUGAAGGGCUUCGGGGUGGAAAGCACUUUUGGCAGGGAAGCGGUACCUGCAGAAUAAGCACCGGCUAACUACGGGCCAGCAGCCGGGGUAAUUC
rnacentral:rRNA from 1 species